rnacentral:rRNA from 1 species
UACGAAGGGAGCUAGCGUUGUUCGGAAUCACUGGGCGUAAAGCGCACGUAGGCGGAUUUGUUAGUCAGGGGUGAAAUCCCGGGGCUCAACCUCGGAACUGCCUUCGAUACUGCGGGUCUCGAGUCCGGGAGAGGUGAGUGGAAUUCCUAGUGUAGAGGUGAAAUUCGUAGAUAUUAGGAAGAACACCAGUGGCGAAGGCGGCUCACUGGCCCGGUACUGACGCUGAGGCGCGAAAGCGUGGGGAGCAAACAGGG